CCUACGGGGGGCAGCAGUCGAGAAUUUUUCACAAUGGGCGCAAGCCUGAUGGAGCGACGCCGCGUGGGGGAUGAAUGGCUUCGGCCCGUAAACCCCUGUCAUUUGCGAUCUAGUAGCGAAAGAGGAAGGGACGGCUAACUCUGUGCCAGCAGCCGCGGUAAUACAGAGGUCCCGAGCGUUGUUCGGAUUCACUGGGCGUAAAGGGUGCGUAGGUGGCGAGGUAAGUCGGAUGUGAAAUCUCGGAGCUCAACUCCGAAACUGCAUUGGAAACUACCUGGCUAGAGGUUUGGAGGGGGGACUGGAAUGCUUGGUGUAGCAGUGAAAUGCGUAGAUAUCAAGCGGAACACCAGUGGCGAAGGCGAGUCCCUGGACACCCUGACACUGAGGCACGAAAGCUAGGGGAGCAAACAGGAUUAGAUACCCUUGUAGUC
rnacentral:rRNA from 1 species